UACGGAGGGUGCAAGCGUUAUCCGGAUUUACUGGGUUUAAAGGGUGCGUAGGCGGUACGACAAGUCGGGAGUGAAAGUCCAGGGCUCAACCCUGGGAUGCCGGUCGAUACUGCCGGACUAGAGUUCGGAAGAGGCGAGUGGAAUUCCUGGUGUAGCGGUGAAAUGCGCAGAUAUCAGGAGGAACACCGGUGGCGAAGGCGGGUCUCUGGGCCGAUACUGACGCUGAGGAGCGAAAGCGUGGGGAGCGAACAGG
rnacentral:rRNA from 1 species